CCAUAUCAUUUUGCAACACUGGUUCUCGUCUGAUCACUGAAGUUAAACAUCGAUCCUUGUCAGUACCUGGAUGGGUGACCACCUGGAAAUACCAGGUACUGUAAG